rnacentral:rRNA from 1 species
CACGUAGGGGGCGAGCGUUGUCCGGAUUUAUUGGGCGUAAAGAGCUCGUAGGCGGCUCAGUAAGUCGGGUGUGAAAUUUCAGGGCUCAACCCUGAAACGCCACCCGAUACUGCUGUGGCUAGAGUCCGGUAGGGGAGCGUGGAAUUCCUGGUGUAGCGGUGAAAUGCGUAGAUAUCAUUUGGAACGCCAAUGGUGAAAACAGGUAGCUGGGGUUGUGCUGACGCUGAGACACGAAAGCCAGGGGAGCGAACGGG